rnacentral:misc_RNA from 1 species
AGAUCAGUGGCCCAAAGAAAUUAUCAGUUGAAGGAUGAGGAUUUCCUACCUCUGAUAUUUCUGAACCAAAAAGGAAAUGAUGAUGGGAGAAACUAUGAUGAGAUACCCUCCAGUUACCAGGCCUUCAUGAUCUCACCUCAUUCAUAAAAAGGGAUAACUCGAAGGAAUCAUCUGAUAGUCUCAUGGGAAGGUCACCCAUUCUUGCUAGCUCAUACUUGUUUGUACACUAAUCGAUCAUUUUCUAACCUGCCCUUGUUGCAUGGAUGUAUCAGAUCAGCGGUAAGGGAAGAAGCAGGACUCGGUGAUUAGGUAUUAAUUGUAGGACACAAACAUGUUGUAACCCCACUGACGUAGAAGCUCGUAGGUUUAGAAUCUAUAAUUUUACAAUGUUAUACGUUUAUUUUCUCGGGAUUUUGUUCCAAGCGGUGGGUGUAUUAGGGAUUUUGAUGCACAAGCUUGGUGUGAGCAUCUCUUAUGAACUGAUGCUUAAGAUCGAAAUUGUAGCAAUACCCCGGCCGAUGAUAGUUGAAAAAGAUUACUCUUUCAUAGCUGGAAAAAAAGGGCGACCUAGUGCUCUUUUUAUUAGCUGCUUAAUUAUAGGCUUAUGGUGAUA